UGAGGAAUAUUGGUCAAUGGGCGGAAGCCUGAACCAGCCAAGUCGCGUGAGGGAAGAAGGCCCUGCGGGUCGCAGACCUCUUUGGACGGGGAGCAAGGCCGCGGACGCGUCCGCGGAAGGAGAGUACCCGUAGAACAAGCAUCGGCUAACUCCGUGCCAGCAGCCGCGGUAAUACGGAGGAUGCGAGCGUUAUCCGGAUUUAUUGGGUUUAAAGGGUGCGCAGGCGGCCCGACAAGCCGGCGGUCAAAUCGCGGGGCUCAACCCCGUCCAGCCGUCGGAACUGCCGGGCUAGAGUGGGCGAGA
rnacentral:rRNA from 1 species